rnacentral:rRNA from 1 species
CCGGCCGCCAGCGGCGCUCGCAAAGUUCGGAUCCGCAAGGACCGGCCCAGCGGGACGUCCGCGUGGCAGGGUGCACUUUCUCCGCGGUCGAGUGCUACGACCGGUUUCGGGGCGGUCAGAAGCCCGGCGGAAAGGUAGCGCCGCCCCUCGGGGUGUCGUGUUAUAGGCCGCCGCGGUGGACUCGCCGCGAGACCGAGGACGCUUGCCGCGCCGAGCGGUCCCGGGCCGUCUGGGGAGGUUCGACCUCGGCUGCACUGCUCCGCAGAGCACCGUAACCGCCGCCCCCUAGCACGGGUCCGGAGACCGCCGGCGCCUCGGGUCAGUAGCG